GAUGAACGCUAGCUACAGGCUUAACACAUGCAAGUCGAGGGGCAGCAUCAUCAAAGCUUGCUUUGAUGGAUGGCGACCGGCGCACGGGUGAGUAACACGUAUCCAACCUGCCGACAACACUGGGAUAGCCUUUCGAAAGAAAGAUUAAUACCGGAUGGCAUAGUUUUCCCGCAUGGGAUAAUUAUUAAAGAAUUUCGGUUGUCGAUGGGGAUGCGUUCCAUUAGGCAGUUGGCGGGGUAACGGCCCACCAAACCAACGAUGGAUAGGGGUUCUGAGAGGAAGGUCCCCCACAUUGGAACUGAGACACGGUCCAAACUCCUACGGGAGGCAGCAGUGAGGAAUAUUGGUCAAUGGACGAGAGUCUGAACCAGCCAAGUACCGUGAAGGAUGACUGCCCUAUGGGUUGUAAACUUCUUUUAUACGGGAAUAAAGUUAGCCACGUGUGGCUUUUUGUAUGUACCGUAUGAAUAAGGAUCGGCUAACUCCGUGCCAGCAGCCGCGGUAAUACGGAGGAUCCGAGCGUUAUCCGGAUUUAUUGGGUUUAAAGGGAGCGUAGGCGGGUUGUUAAGUCAGUUGUGAAAGUUUGCGGCUCAACCGUAAAAUUGCAGUUGAUACUGGCGACCUUGAGUGCAACAGAGGUAGGCGGAAUUCGUGGUGUAGCGGUGAAAUGCUUAGAUAUCACGAAGAACUCCGAUUGCGAAGGCAGCUUACUGGAUUGUAACUGACGCUGAUGCUCGAAAGUGUGGGUAUCAAACAGGAUUAGAUACCCUGGUAGUCCACACAGUAAACG
rnacentral:rRNA from 1 species